rnacentral:lncRNA from 1 species
GGAUGAUGAAGUGAAGAGAUGCUCAUCUUUCACUUCUUGCUAAAGGUAAGAAAACAGGAAAGGGGUGCAAAACUGUCUGAUUUUUUAUUUUUUGGUCCUGAGGAGAUGUUGUCUGAUCUAUUCACACUGCUCUGUUGAAGAACUUCCAGAUGUCUGGAUUUAAGGAGAAGGUGGUAACAAAGUGCGUUUCGCUGCACAAGUCUUCCUUCUGUCUCUGAAGAACAUUUUAC